rnacentral:rRNA from 1 species
GAUGAACGCUGGCGGCGUGCCUAAUACAUGCAAGUCGAGCGAAUUGACAGAGGUGCUUGCACCUCUCGAUUUUAGCGGCGGACGGGUGAGUAACACGUGGGUAACCUACCUAUAAGACUGGGAUAACUUCGGGAAACCGGAGCUAAUACCGGAUAAUAUUUAGCUUCGCAUGAAGCAAUAGUGAAAGACGGUUCUGCUGUCACUUAUAGAUGGACCUGCGGUGUAUUAGCUAGUUGGUGAGGUAACGGCUCACCAAGGCAACGAUACAUAGCCGACCUGAAAGGGUGAUCGGCCACACUGGGACUGAGACACGGCCCAGACUCCUACGGGAGGCAGCAGUAGGGAAUCUUCCGCAAUGGACGAAAGUCUGACGGAGCAACGCCGCGUGAGUGAAGAAGGUUUUCGGAUCGUAAAACUCUGUUGUAAGGGAAGAACAAGUACGUUAGUAACUGAACGUACCUUGACGGUACCUUACCAGAAAGCCACGGCUAACUACGUGCCAGCAGCCGCCGUAACAC